rnacentral:lncRNA from 1 species
GUUCACUGAGUCCACUGGAUUAGCAAAGCAGGACAACGCCUUCUGUACCACCAUCUAUGCCAUCUAGUUAGGAGGCAGAAUCUCAGGACUAAUUGCUUCAUUUCUUCAUUUGGCCUUGAAAAAACAUUUCGUUAUUUGUUGUUGCCUGCUAUGUGGAAGGGACCAAGAAUAUCCUCUAAAACAGAAUCUGUUUUGUUUGGUGCUAUGGACACCCUAGGGAGGAAAAAAUUUUUUUGAAAGAGGAGCUGUCAUUUCCAACUUAUCUUUAUUACUCACCUCAAUGCUCGAGGAUCUCUCCACUCAUUCAUGAAGCGUAAUAAGGAGGACACGAAAGCUGGAGCUGGGGGAUGUCUGGCUAUUUUAUAUAAGAUGGCUGAGGAAGGCAGCACAGGUAUUCAAGCCAAGACCUGAGGGACACGAGCAAGCAAGCCACACAGACGUGUGCAAGAAAGGGGAUUGCAGCAAACGUGAAGAGGAAGCUGCAGCGUGGUUUGUAAAUCGUGAAAGAUCAAGGAAGCUGUGAGGACACAAUGAGAAGAUGGCCAUCUGCAAGCCAGGAAGAGAGCCCUCCCUGAGGAACUGAAUGGGCCAGCACCUUGGGCUUGGACUUCCAGUCUCCUGAACUAUAAUGGUUAUGGUGGUUCUAAAACAUGACUUCAAAUUCUUUGGGACUCCUCCCAUCAAAAGAUAUUUGCAGAGUGGACGAUGUCUUUGGCCACAGCUUUGGACAAGACAUAGAAAUGUAUAGUUCAGUGGGGUGCUUGUGAAGAUAUUUCCAAGGACGUAGUUCCCUGGAAGGAAGAAGUUCUGCGCUCCAGUGGGACCUCAUCAGAUACCCCUCCAUCUCUCCAUCUCCGGCUCUCCAGGAUAUUCUUCACAGCCUCCUCCUGCUGUUGUCCCUCUGUCUCUCUACAUCUUGGGAUAAUGGAAAGAUGGCUUCAGAUCAGGCCUCCAUUGUGCAACUGGCCCAUCCAGAAACUCAAGAAACUUCCCUGUGCCCAAAGUGGAGAGAACUCUGAGGCUCUGGGGAGGCAGAAACACAAAAUGGAAGGAAACUGAACUACUGGAUGUCGUCUGGAAGGCCCACCCUCUGACCAGGAACACCAGCAUUAGACACUCAUGUGAGCAAGAAAUAAAUGUCUCUUAUGUCGA